GGGAUAUUGCACAAUGGGCGAAAGCCUGAUGCAGCAACGCCGCGUGAGGGAUGACGGUUUUCGGAUUGUAAACCUCUGUCUUCGGUGAAGAUGAUGACAUUAGCCGAGGAGGAAGCCACGGCUAACUACGUGCCAGCAGCCGCGGUAAUACGUAGGUGGCAAGCGUUGUCCGGAUUUACUGGGUGUAAAGGGAGCGCAGGCGGGAUAGCAAGUCAGCGGUGAAAUGCAUGGGCUCAACCCAUGAACUGCCGUUGAAACUGUUAUUCUUGAGUGGAGUAGAGGCAAGCGGAAUUCCGAGUGUAGCGGUGAAAUGCGUAGAUAUUCGGAGGAACACCAGUGGCGAAGGCGGCUUGCUGGGCUCUAACUGACGCUGAGGCUCGAAAGUGUGGGGAGCAAACA
rnacentral:rRNA from 1 species